AUUGAACGCUGGCGGCAGGCUUAACACAUGCAAGUCGAACGAGUGUCGGACGGGUGCGUAAUAGUUAGGAAUCUGUCAUCUGGAGGGUGAUAACUACGGGCAACUGUAGCUAAUACCGCGUAACAUAGGUUGAGCCCAAGUGGGAUUAGGUAGUUUGUGGGGUAAAGGCUCACCAAGACGACGCUCCCUAGCUGGUCUGAGAGGAUGACCAGCCACACUGGGACUGAGACACGGCCCAGACUCCUACGGGAGGCAGCAGUGGGGAAUAUUGCGCAAUGGGGGCAACCUGACGCAGCCAUGCCGCGUGAAUGAAGAAGGCUUUCGGGUUGUAAAGGUCUUUCGGUAGCGAGGCGGUAACUACAGAAGAAGCACCGGCUAACUCCGUGCCAGCCGCCGCGGUAAUAAC
rnacentral:rRNA from 1 species